UAGAGUUUGAUCUUGGUUCAGAUUGAACGCUGGCGGCAUGCUUUACACAUGCAAGUCGGACGGCAGCACAGAGAAGCUUGCUUCUUGGGUGGCGAGUGGCGAACGGGUGAGUAACAUAUCGGAACGUACCGAGUAAUGGGGGAUAACUAAUCGAAAGAUUAGCUAAUACCGCAUAUUCUCUGAGGAGGAAAGCAGGGGACCUUCGGGCCUUGCGUUAUUCGAGCGGCCGAUAUCUGAUUAGCUAGUUGGUGGGGUAAAGGCCUACCAAGGCGACGAUCAGUAGCGGGUCUGAGAGGAUGAUCCGCCACACUGGGACUGAGACACGGCCCAGACUCCUACGGGAGGCAGCAGUGGGGAAUUUUGGACAAUGGGCGCAAGCCUGAUCCAGCCAUGCCGCGUGUCUGAAGAAGGCCUUCGGGUUGUAAAGGACUUUUGUCAGGGAAGAAAAGGCUGUCGCUAAUACCGACAGUUGAUGACGGUACCU
rnacentral:rRNA from 1 species